rnacentral:rRNA from 1 species
CCCUUAGAUGUUCUGGGCCGCACGCGCGCUACACUGAUGCAUUCAACGAGCCUAUCCUUGACCGACAGGUCCGGGUAAUCUUUGAAUCUGCAUCGUGACGGGGAUAGAUUAUUGCAAUUAUUAAUCUUCAACGAGGAAUGCCUAGUAGGCGCAAGUCAUCAGCUUGCGUCGAUUACGUCCCUGCCCUUUGUACACACCGCCCGUCGCUCCUACCGAUUGGAUGAUCCGGUGAGCUAUUCGGACUUUCGCAUUGUCGAUUUUCGGCUUUACGAGGGAAAGUCUCGCGAACCUUAUCAUCUAGAGGAAGGAGAAGUCGUAACA